CACGGAGUUAGCCGGUGCUUAUUCACCAGGUACCGUCAGUAGAGGACGCAUCCCCUUUUUUUCUUCCCUGGCAAAAGCAGUUUACGACUCAGAAAGCCUUCAUCCUGCACGCGGCAUGGCUGGGUCAGGCUCUCGCCCAUUGCCCAAUAUUCCCUACUGCUGCCUCCCGUAGGAGUCGGGCCCGUAUCUCAGUGCCCGUGUGGGGGACCAGCCUCUCAGCUCCCCUAGCCAUCGUCGCCUUGGUGGGCCGUUACCCCCCCAACUAGCUAAUGGCACGCAACCCCAUCCAAUUCCAAUAAAUCUUUAAACCAAGAGACGAUGCCGCCACCUGGUGUUAUGCGGUAUUAAUCCGCCUUUCGGCGGGCUAUCCCCCAGAACUGGGUAGGUUGGUUACGCGUUACGCACCCGUGCGCCACUAUGGUAUUGCUACCACCGUUCGACUUGCAUGUAUUAGGCCUGCCGCUAGCGUUCAUCCUGAGCCAGGAUCAAAACUCU
rnacentral:rRNA from 1 species